rnacentral:lncRNA from 10 species
CAAUUGUGGCCGAAGGCGAAUGAGGAACAGAGUAAGUCACAUCUUACAUGGCGACAAGCAGGAGAGAACAUGUGCAGGGGAACUCCCCUUUAUAAAACCACCAGAUCUUAUGAGACUUAUUCACUACCACAAGAACAGCAUGGGAGAGACCUGCCCCCGUGAUUCAAUCACUUCCCACCACAUCCCUCCCAUGACACAUGGAAAUUAUGGAAGCUACAAUUCAAGAUGAGAUUUGGGUGGGGACACAGCCAAACCACAUUGUUAGCCAUUAGGAAAAUGCAAAAAUUAAAACCACUAUGAAAUAUAACCACACACUUACUAGAACAACUAAAAUAAAGCAUAGAAAUAAUGCCAAAUGCCGGCAAGAAUGCAGAGAAAUUGGAUAUUUUAUACAUUGCUGAUGGGAAUGUAAAAUGUCACUUUGCAAAAUACUUUGGCAGUUUCUCAUAAAACUAAAUACACAUUUACCAUAUGACAUAGUAAUUGCAACAUUGAGCAUUUAUUCCAGAGAAAUUAAAACUUAUUUACACAAAUAUAUACAAUUAUCUUAGAAGUUUGAUUUGUAAUGGGCAAAAUCUGGAAACCACCCAAAUGUCCUUUAACGAGUGGCAAGUUAGACAAACUGUGACACAGCCACACAAUGAAAUACUACUCAGCAAUAAAAAGGAAUGGACUAUUUAUUGAUAGAUGCAAAACUUGGAUGAACCUUAACACAGUAUCCUUAGACAAAUUCUGCUAGAAAUAAUAUAAUUCUGAAGUGGGAUUUGUCUUCUCAUUAAUUUGACAAACAUUUCUCAAGCACAGGACAGGUACUUCCCUAAACCUGGGAUACACAGAGAUGAUGGGAGCGCCAAUACACAUUUAUAGAAAGAAUGUCAACUCUGUGACAUGCCAUGUGCCAAGUGCAGUGUAGUCAUUACUCUCAUGUGAUGAUUACUUAUGUAUGUCAACUUGACUGGGCCAUAUGGUCACCAGAUAUUUGAUUAAACGUUAUCCUAAAUAUUUCUGUGAGAGUGUUUGAUGAGAUUAGCAUAUAAAUCAAAAGGCUGAGUAAAGAAGAUUCCCCUCCCUAAUGGGGAUGGGCCUUAUCCAAUCAGUUGAAGGCCUAAAUAGAAGAAAAAUGUUGAUCCUACCCCAAGUAAGAGAUAGUUAUUUUCUAGCCUGGCUGUCCUCAGGCUGGGACAUUGGCUUUUAUCCUGCCUUAGGACUAAAACUGAAGCUUUGUUUUUUCCUGGGUCUUAACUUCCAGCCUUUCGACUGGAACUACACCAUCAGCUCUCCUGGGUCUCCAGCUUGCUGACUCACCCUGCAGAUCUUGGGACUUGGUGGCCUCUAUAAUCAUCAUCAGCAAACAGAGAGAAAAAAAAAGAUGGAAAUAGAUCAUGCCUCUACUGCAAGUAUGGAUAACAUAGAACAAGCUAAAAAAAGGUGAUGCAAGAUACAGCAACUCAUCCUCCACCAUGGAGGAGAUAUCUCAACAUGCUCUUGACCAUUGGAUCCCCAGAAACCUCACUAAAGUAGAAAUUUCCUGAAAUGUGGGGUUUAUCUCCCAUCCUCUGGUUGAAAUAUAUCUUACUAAGACAUAAAAGUGCUUUAUUACUUCCUGCACAUUCUAUCCAAUCCUCAAAUGUCCUCAAAGUUGUGGACCACAAUAGUGUUUUGUCAAAUACCAAGGCAAUCAUGACUUUUACAGACUUGUGACAGAGAGCAGGAGAAUUGACAGAGGCACAACAAGAGGGAGUAAUAUUCAUUCUGCCAGGUAAAAGUAAACAGUUUCUGAUGGUCAGAGGAGAAAGCAUUGACCAGGAAUUAAUCAUUUAAUUUUUAUUUGAAGUAUUUUAUGAGCCAAUUACAUCACUUCUUAGACUCUCUUAUAUUCAAGGUUAACUUUUCACUCUACAAUGCUGUCAUUACUUGAAUCUUAAGUAGGAAACUAUUGCUCUUAGUACAAAUUCAGUAAAGAAAGAGUUUAUCAAAUUCCAUCUGCCUUUGUGUAAUGAUGAAUAAAGUAUGUAUUAGAUAAACAUUUACAAAUAAUAAUAAUAAUGAAAAAGUGCACAGCUCUGUACCUGUGGGCAGUGGGGGAGAAAGGGGUGUGGAGGAGAAAGCUAAGUUACAAUGAUGAACUUCUUUUUAGAGAAAAUUUGAAAAUGGAUUCAACAUCAAGGAGAAUUAUAUAGAAUCUGUUAUAUAAAACUAGCUUAAGAUUUUGAAAGAUAUGACUUCCAUGGUAUGUUUCUUUUGAGUUGUUUGUACUUUCCUCAAUAGACAAUGAUAUAUAUAUGAGCUGUUAAAAGAUAAUCAUGGUCAAAAGUCUAUCAUAAACAAUUGCAGAAGAAAAAAAAGACAGGUAACUAAAGAUGAUGAGAUAUUAAUGCCAGUGUUGUUAAGGUCAGAGUCAUACAUCGCUGACGGCAAUAUGAUGGUAUAAUGCUUUUGGAGAGCCAUUUGGCAAUGCCUAUCAACAGGAAUAAAAAUUUUCAUCUCCUAUGACUCAGUGAUCCCACUUCUGGGAAUGUAUCCUAAGAAAUUACAUUAAAUGCAUAAAAAAGCUAUAAGUACAAAGCUUUUUAUUUCAUAACAUUUUAGACUCACCAAAAAAAGACAAUAAAUGAAAAAUUCAAGAAUAAUUUUAAAAACGAAUCAGUAGAUUCUCUUUAUGCAGUGAUCAAAAACAAUAAUUUAAAAGGCUAUGUAGCAAUAUGGAAAUAUGCUAGCUUUGUGAUAUAACAUUAAAUGACAACAGAAC